UCAUAUUUGCAUUGCCAAAAUGUUUGCCAAAUUACCUAAUUCGGGGAUUUGCUGUGGAGCGCCCAAUGGUAGUGGCCGUAUACGAGUAGGUCGCCGCUGUCUUGGUUUAAUUGAUAACGUACUUGUAAAUAGUUUUAUCUCCGACUGAUAAAAUAUGAUCUAAUGCAGGCAAAGCGGAAGUUUACCCGGAAUGCCUAGGCGCCCCAUCAAGAAAUGCAGUUGAUGGAUAGCAUAUCAGGGAAGUUCCUAGUACCUAGUUCUAGUUAUAGGUUUCCUUGUCGACACCACAAAUGGGACCAGAAGGCCCGCAGAUUAUUGUAAACAGUUUGGAUUUCCCAACAGCACAGAUGCUCCCUCACAAAGCAUUAAACAAGUAUUCCAAAAAUAAACUCGGAGUACAUAACAUAUCACCCGAAAGCCCACACCAAUGGGAAUUCAUCGAACCCAACUGAAGUCAUCCGAAUUGUAUGUUAUUUGGUGUUUGGUGUUUGGCCGGGGCCAAAUCAGAUGGUUGCUGCUGAUGGUUGCACGCACAGGUGAAGCGCCAUAAACAAGAUGAUGGAUUUAUUAGCGUGGUAGGUGAGUGGGUGAUUAAACUGUUAGGAGGCUGGCAGGCUGGGCCGUUGAGAACGGUUGCCUCUCAAUGGACUUGUCAAGCGCCACAAGGUCAGGCAUUCGGCAUUUGUGCGAGCUCUCUUUGGCUGGUCAUGUCACAAGUCAAGUUGGCGCCAAAGAAAUCAAUUGCUGAAUCGUUGGCUUGCCAUAAGCCGUUGGCGUGACAAAUGGUAAUUGUGCGACAGAAAUCGAGCGAGAAACCCAAGCUGCCGACAAUAGCGAUCACCGUGACAUUGUGCAUUACUAAAUUGAUUGGAAUUAUAGAGUGUGGAUCACAGAAUACAUUGUAGAACCAUAGGAGAGGGUGCGAGUGCACCCGUUAUCCGUUGGUAUCCGUUGCUGUAAGAGAUUAUUGCAUCUCGUAGAUUGCUUCAAUUUAGCCGCCCUCUGCGGCACUCUCUUCCCAGUGCACGUGCUGAUCGUUUCGUUUCUUUUCUUUUGUUUAUCAUGUUUAUCAUUGUUUAUUAUCACCUCUGAACUGCUCUAUAUUCCGCCGCAAAUUGGCUGCAGUUGACUGACUCUGGAAGAGGUGUGAAUGAAAUUGAACAGGUGUCCCUCGGCCAAGGGGCAAUAAGAUACGAAAACCAUAAGAAACCAUCAGUUGCAAGCGAAUAUUUCGCUGUAAAUUGUACAAAUGUAGAAAUGAUUGGCGGCGCCGAAA